UACGUAGGAUGCAAGCGUUGUCCGGAAUUAUUGGGCGUAAAGAGUUCGUAGGCGGUUGCCUAAGUCUGGUGUUAAAUACAGGAGCUCAACUCCUGCAUGGCACUGGAAACUGGGCAGCUAGAGUGUGGUAGAGGUCACGGGAAUUCCAGGUGUAGCGGUGAAAUGCGUAGAUAUCUGGAGGAACACCAGUGGCGAAAGCGCGUGACUGGGCCACAACUGACGCUCAUGCACGAAAGCGUGGGGAGCAAACAGG
rnacentral:rRNA from 1 species